CAUUGAUUUUAUGGCAUUAAAAUAAGUUUAAAAAAGUUAAAACACUGGAAAAAAAAGUUUAAAAAUUUACGAAAUUACAAUAAUGCCAUAAAUUGUGUGUGUGUGCGUGUGUACAUAUAUGCAUGUAUGUAUAAGUAAAUGUAUGUAUGUAUAUACAUAUAUAAGUAUGUAUGUAUAUAUAUACAUACAUACGUACAUAUUUCAUUAAUGUCAUAUUUGUAAAUAAUGUAAUUUUUUUCCCAUUUCUUUCUUUUCUCCUGUGUUUUUCUUCCCUUCUUUUCCUUCCAGUUCAUAACUCCAUCCCAUUUAUUUUCACCCAGAGCUCAUUUUCUCCAUUUCCCUCUAUCUCCACCCUAUUCCUAUGUAUUUCCUCUUCCUACCAUCUUUCUCUCAUGAAUCUAGUAAGUGAAUUAUGGACACAACACGUAUCAAAGAAAAGAUUGAAAAUCAAUUGUGCAUUAUCUUUAAACUAAAUGUAUAUUUUUUUUGUAAAAAAUGUGCUUAUUUUAAAAAUGAUAUGUGCUUGCAUAUUUGAUAGUAGAAAUGUGCAAUUCCUUUGUACUUAAAAUGCAUAUUCGGAUGCCGUUCUUUUUAUUUGCUUUUGUAGUAAUAUGUACUAGGCUCUUUUCUUUAUCCUUUGUCAAAAAACAAAGCAUAUUCUUUACAUAAAACAUUAUAAGUUGAGGAAGAAAACCUAGUUAUGGUUGGUAAUAAGGAGAAGGGCUCUGCCGGGUCGAAACCUCUCAUAGUUCCUCCCGGAUCGGGCUAGAUAUUUUGAGUGUGUGUGUGUGUUGGGGGGGGGGGAAGGAUAAAGAAAUCCCCACCCCAAAGUACCUCUAGUGGGUUUGAUCCUACAACCUCUUCACUGUGAGAUGCAAACUUUUUCACUAGACAUUGCUUGAUUUGUAUGUGUGUGUGUGUGUGUGUGUUUGUUUCUUUGUUGAGAUAAUAUGAGAACCAAGAUGAAUAAUGAGAACUAAGAACUAAUAUGAGCCUUUAAUCACGCUCGAUCUGACGGCUCACGUUCACCUGCACUCAUUAAUGGCAUUUUCGUAAUUUCGCGGCUUUUCAAAGUUUUUUCAGCUUUUAACUUUUAAGGCAAUUUCAUUUACUUUAUGAUUAAUUUCAUUUACUUUUACUAAGUUUUCAUUUACUUUUACUAAGUUUUCAUUUAUUUUAUGAAAUGAAAUUGGAACUGUUUUGUAAAGUUGAAAUAUUACAAAAAUGUCAUUAAUGAUAUGGGAAGCAUGUGGACUGUCUGAUUAAUAUAAAAGCCUAAAUAAGUUCAUAGUUCUCAUUUUAGCCAUGAAGCAUGUGGACUGUCCGAUUAAUAUAAAAGCCUAAAUAAGUUCAUAGUUCUCAUUUUAGCCUUGGUUUUCAUUAUUACUUGAUUCUAUAUGCAAAUGAGAUUAUGUGAAGCCUAGAUAAGUUCAUAGUUCUCAUUUUAGCAUUGGUUCUCAUUAUAACUUGAUUCUAUAUAUAAAUGAGAUUAUGUGAAAACUUAGGUGUAUAUUUUGAGAAUUAAGAACCAAUCUCAGCAAUUAAUCAUUAAAAUUGAGUUUUUUUUUUUUUACUUGAUGACAUUUAGUAUAUUUUCGUUAAAAUAAGUUGUGCAAGGGGUUGAACAAAUAUGUAUUUACUUUUAAUGUAAAAUGAUUUACUAUAAUAAUGUUCCGCUUUACUUAUAGGAUAAUUUGUUCAAAAGGACCACUUAAGCGGUCUCUUUUGUUCAGAACGACCAAUUAAGACAAAAGUUGUUAAAAAGGACCACAAAACACACUUUGGGUUGUUAAGAGGGACCAAGUUUUAUUUUCAGGCAAGUCAAUGCCGGACUCCGGCGUUGACCAUCACGUGCCAGGCACAUGACUCAUUGAGUUGAGUCUAAUUUUUUUUUUUUCUCACUUUUUUCACGAUUUUCCCCCAAAAUUCCCAAUUACCCCCAAUUGUUUUCAUUUCUUCUUUCUCUCUCCUCAAAGUAUAAACUCUAGAUUGACUGUAAUGUGCAAUUGAGCCCUCUUUCUCCUAACAAAUUCAUCCACAAUGCAGUUGACUGUUGAGGACAAGUCACAGAAGCAAAAUGAAUCUGGGCAAAAUGAAGAGAACUAAGUGCAGCGGAAUAUCAAGUCGAUUGACAAUUGUGCUUUUUUUGCCCUUUUCCUUUCCUUUUGCCAUUGAUAAGGUCAAAAACAAAAACAAAAACAAAAACAAAAAAAAAAUGAAUACAAAUGGUGAGGAAACACUCCAAGAUAAGAAAGGAAAGUGACAGGGAGAGAGAAUAGUACAAAGAAUUUACCUUUAAUAGCCUCUGAUCUCACCAACAAUGGCAGACUUCUAAAUCCAUGAACAGUGCUUUUGAGCAGGGAGAAAAAGAAGAAGAAAUGGAAAAUAGGGAAUGUUGGGGGUAAUCGUAAAAAAAAAUAAAAAAAACAACAACAACCCAACUUCAUGGCACGUGAUGGUCUACCUGAAAAUAGGACUUGGUCCCUCUCAACAACCCAAAGUGUGUUUUGUGGUCCUUUUUAACAACUUUUUUUUAAUUGGUCCUUCUGAAUAAAAGAGACAACUUAAGUGGUCCUUUUGAAUAAAUUUUCCUUACUUUUAACAUAGUAAACAUAAACGAGCAAAUGCAACCCCUAAUAAAAAUUGUUGCAAUAGGGCAAGAAGCCGUUGCUAUAGACCUAUUCUAACGACUAAACCGUUGCAUUUGCGGCUGUUGCCAAUGGCGGAUCUAGGGGGCACAUAGAGUUACAGUUGUACCCCCAUUCUGCCAAAAAAAAA